CUCCGAAGCUCCUUCAGGGGACCAGGUUCCAGGAGAGAACGUUCCAGAUUCGAGACCACAAACUGCUGCUGCUCAAAGACAAGAAGAGCAUCAAACCUGAGAAGGAGUGGCUCUGAAAUCCUUAAAGAUCUACAUCGGCAUCCGCAAGAAGCUGAAGGCUCCAACCAGGUGGGGCUUCACAGUGAUGUCAGACAAACACCAGCUGUAAGUAUCAGGGCUCACCUGUCCUCCUCAGUGUCACACUCACCUGCAGCAGCUGAUG